ensembl:miRNA mir-5593.1 ncRNA
AUACCGCAUUCCAACCAACAA